GGGCCGCUAGCUCAGCUGGUUAGAGCAGUUGACUCAUAAUCAUCAGGUCCACGGUUCGAGCCCGUGGCGGCCCACCA
rnacentral:tRNA from 1 species